rnacentral:lncRNA from 1 species
GCGAGAGGAGGGUUAGUUUCACAAAUAAAAUUUUCACAGGGUUAGUUUAGCAAAUAUGAAAUUUCACAGGGUUAUUUUCGAAAAAAGUCCGUUUAUUUGAGCUAAAAAGAUAUGGAUUUGGUUAUGGGUAUAGAAAAUAAAAAUCCGACAGAUAUCAAUACGGAUAUGAAUUUUGUAUUUACCCAAUUCGAAUCCGAACCCAAACCCGAAUAAAUAUGAAUUUUGCAUUUACCCAAUCCGGAUCCGAACACAAACCCGAAUAAAUUUUAUAUAUAUAUAUAGAGUGAGGCUACUAUGCUAUCGGAAGCACGGAGCCUUCCAUGCUUUCAGCUCAUUUUCGAUGUUGCGACUUUUGAAUCGUCGAUCGGCUCCGUUAAACUUGAUCUAGAGUAUUUGAAGUACCUAGAAAAUAAAUUUUAUGAUUUACGAUAUCAUUUGCCUAGUGAACAAAGGGGCUCAAAAUCGAUAUACAAUAUGUCCACGCUUUCUUCCGCAGCCGUCUUAGUCUCCAGUGCCAUCACAUUCACCACCUCCGCCAUCGCUAUGACCUGAAGCGUCGCCCACGCCUCUGGCUAAAUGAAAAGAGGAUAAUACAUCAAAAUUAGGAAUUAAAAAAAAAAAAAGUAAAUAGAUCCCACACCUUUUGCUAAAUGAAGGAGGUUGUAAUUUAUUAUAAGAAAUAAAAUAGGCUUUUAUUUUCAUGACAUGCAUAGGAGAGAAUGAGGCUUUUGCGUGAGUUUUUAUGAUUUACGAUUAUAUUAGGGUUAAAAUGAAUGGAUACAUUAAUUAGACGUUAUAUGCGGAGGGAAGGCAAAUGGUUGGACCUUUUGGAUGAGUUUCUAGAUUUACGGUUUAGAUAAAGUUAAAUUAGACGUUAUAUGUGGAGGGACGGCGAAAGGUUGGUUUCAUAAGAUAAAAGUCCAAGAGUAAAGAAUUUGAUAUUUAAUGUCACUAAGGGUUGUUAAUUUGAUAUUUAGAUAGAGGAAUUAGUUUCAUUUAUUUAUUUAUUUAUGAGGAUGAAGGGAUGAAGAAUGACUUGCCACGUGGCAAGAAAUAUUGUACUUUCAUUUAGGUUUAUAGAUGAUUAUUUCAAAUAACAGUUUCACGAAUUUCUAUGGGCUCGCAAUUUAAGUAUGAAUCGGUACAUUAAUUAAUUAAGUCAUCAACCAUUCAACAUUUAUUUUAAUUUGGACUUAACUUAGACUUAGGCUUCGUUUGGGAUUGCGGGGAGAUUGCGUUACGUGCGGUGAGAAAGUACGUUGGAAAAAUAUCAUGUUUGUUUCCGUACGUAAUAUUGCGUUCCGCAUAUCGUUACGAUAUAUUUUCUGCGGUCCCACCGGAGAACGCAGAAGCAUAUCCCUAUAUGCUUUUUCCUCAAUUCCAUUUUAUCUAAUAGCGUACAUUAAAUUAAUAGACCUCAAUACCAAACUAAGCUUUAUACUGUUAGUUCAAUUAAACAUCUUAAUAGACCUCAAUACCAAACUAAGCUUUAUACUGUUAGUUCAAUUAAACAUCUUAAUGGAGUUGCAUUUUACAGA